rnacentral:rRNA from 1 species
GGAUCCAGACUUUGAUCCUGGCUCAUGACGAACGCUGGCGGCGUGCUUUAUACAUGCAAGUCGAACGAGAAUCUGACUUCGGUCAGUGGAAAGUGGCGGACGGGUGAGUAAAAUGUAGAGAAUCUGCCCUUGAGUGGGGGACAACAGUUGGAAACGAUUGCUAAUACCCCAUACGAGAUAGGCUGCAAUGUUUAUCUUGAAAACUCCGGUGCUCAAGGAUGAGUCUGCAUCUGAUUAGCUAGUUGGUGGUGUAAUGGACUACCAAGGCGAUGAUCAGUAGCUGGUUUGAGAGGAUGAUCAGCCACAAUGGGACUGAGACACGGCCCAUACUCCUACGGGAGGCAGCAGUAGGGAAUUUUGCGCAAUGGGGGAAACCCUGACGCAGCAACGCCGCGUGAUUGAUGAAGCCCUUCGGGGUGUAAAGAUCUGUCAGUAGGGACGAAUAAUGACUGUACCUACAGAGGAAGCACCGGCUAACUCCGUGCCAGCAGCCGCGGUAAUACGGGGGGUGCGAGCGUUGUCCGGAAUCAUUGGGCGUAAAGAGUUCGUAGGUGGUAUGUUAAGUCUGGUGUUAAAUUCCGAAGCUCAACUUCGGUACGGCACUGGAUACUGGCAAACUUGAAUGCGGUAGAGGUAAAGGGAAUUCCUGGUGUAGCGGUGAAAUGCGUAGAUAUCAGGAGGAACAUCGGUGGCGUAAGCGCUUUACUGGGCCGUAAUUGACACUGAGGAACGAAAGCCGGGGUAGCAAAUGGGAUUAGAUACCCCAGUAGUCCCGGCCGUAAACGAUGGAUACUAGGUGUUGCGGGUAUCGACCCCUGCAGUGCCGUAGCAAACGCGAUAAGUAUCCCGCCUGGGGAGUACGCACGCAAGUGUGCAACUCAAAGG